rnacentral:lncRNA from 1 species
CCCGGCAGCCCCCGCCACCCCCGGGACGCCCCUCCGCUUCCUCCUCCCGGAGCGGGGGCCCCUGGCCGCGUCUCUCCGCCUUCCCUCCCUAUCCGCGCCCCUAUCCGGCGCGGGCCGCUGCGGAAACGCAGCUCUCCACCCCCAGCUGGCUCUCCCGGACCCCCUGGGCCCCACCCUCAGCGCUCCCCACCGCUCGGCGCCCCUGCGUCUGCGCUCCCCUCUCUCCCCUCUCUAUCCACUGGGUCUGGGCCGCACUUCCCGCCCACCCGCCUGCCAGCGGCCGGGAAGCCUGUGGAAGUUAUGGGGAUGCAGGGAGAGGGGGAGAGGGGAGCUUGUGUGCUAGGGUCUGCAAAGCUCGUCUGCAUCAGACAGGAAUUUUCCCCAGACGCGGGUGCACGUGAAUUAAUUCAUCAGAAGGCGGUUCACGGCCUGAGUGAGGGGGACGAGGGCGGCGAAUUCCUCCGCCUCAUUCCUACCCUGACGAUUCGAGUUCGUUUCUGCUGCGGCGGCAAGAGGCUGGGGAGCCGAUGACUCACCCUGCCGGCUAAUUGCAGCGUUAAAUAACUUUGCGCCGGAUUCGGUGGCUGCAGCAGGGAACGCGCUCCGGGCGCCGGGGGAGGUGGAGGGACGCCCUGAGAACGCACCUCCGUCCCUGUCACCAGCCUUAGCAAGUUCUGGCCUGUGGAGCCGUCAUCCAGAGCGCACAGCUUCAUGCCCUUGAAGGGCGCAGUGUGUCCCGUGGUGCCCGGUGGGCCCGGACAGAGACCCCAGAGGCUCUGUCUGAAGGAAGCUGCACCCACAGACUCCAUCCAGGCAGCGCGGGCGCGGUCCUGUCGCCUACCUUUCUCGGAAGCCAUCUGCCCAUGUGAAUCUAUGUGAAGGCCCUUCAUGCGCUCCUGGACAUCUGCGUGGGAUUUACUUCAACUGCUAUCGCUGCGAGGAGGACGAGCAUGUUUCACUGUAUUUUUAGCAGAGAGUGCAGAUUUUAGAACCUCGCGAACGGUCCUGUAUCUCCUGCACGAUGACUCUCCAGAACAGGAAUAGUGACCCUUCCUUUGCAUUUAUGGUGCAUAGGUUUUCAAAGGACAGUGUGUAAAUCAGCUUGUGUAAUAAUUGUGGCACCCACGCGCGCAAGCAGACUUACCAUGAGCUGACUUCCACUGAUUAUUUCAGUUUCCAGGGAAACGAGGUUUGCAGCCCCCUCCAGUGAGGGCGGAGCGGCCUCUCCAUUCCCAAUGCAGCAAGGCUGCUGCAGCCACGAUGAUUAGGCUUUGGAGGAGGAAGUGAACGGAUGGGGCCUCAUCCUCCUGCCUCCCUAAAGGGUGAGGGUGGAAGGAUGGGGCUGUGCCCUCUUAGGGCAGGGAAAAACAGCUUGGAGGGGUUUCUGCCAUCAGAGAUCCCAUAGGAGGCAGGUCAGUCCUGCAGAAUUUCUCCCCAGUCUGGCCUCCAGCCUCCCUGGCCCCUUUCUAGAGGCCUCCAUCCCACUGGCGGCUUGCUCCUGCCACCGGGCCUCUGCACAGUCACCUCCUGCAGCCUGGGGUGUGUCGCCUCUCCACGUCCUCACCGGCGUCUGCCUUUGCAUUUCCCAGAUGCUCGCUUCACCCCACUGAGAUGUAACUCAGUUUUGUGGGAUCCCACUGCCCUCCAGGUGCCGCUCCGAGUGCUCUACACAGAUUUUCAUUCAGUCCUUGCGGCACACGAAGAGUGGCUGUACCAUUUUGCAUUCCCAGACCGAAGUGUGAAAGCUCCAGAUGCCCCACGCCCUCACCAGCCCACGGUGUUGUCAGCCUUAAUAGUGCUGACCAUUCUGCCUGUUAAUAUGAUGAAUUACACUGAUUCAGUUUCAAAUGUCCAACCAAGCUUGCACUCCAGAGAUGAAGCCCACUUGAUCACAUGGAUUAUUCUUUUAAUAUAUGAUGGAUACGACUUGGCUGUUCUUUUGUUGAGGAUUUUUGUGUUUAUGUUAAUGAGGAUAUUAUUUGUAGUUUUCUUUUCUUGUAAUGUUUUUGUCUUUGUUCAGUGUCAGAGUAAUGCCAACUUCAUAAAGUGAGCUGGGAAGUACUCCCUCAUUUUCUGUUUUCUGUGAAAGAAUUGUAUAGAAUUGAUGUUAUUUCUUCCUUAAGUGUUGAGUAGAAUUCACUUGCAAAGCCAUCUGAGGUUGACAUCUUCUUUGGGAAUGACUUUAGCUAUAAAUUCAAUUUAUUUAACAGAUAUAGGGCUAUUAAGGUUAUUUAAUUUUUUUCUUGAAUGAGCUUUAGUGUCCUGUGUUUUUCAAGGAAUUUUUCCAUUUUAUUUAAGUUUUUAGAUUUGUUGGCAUAAAGUUAUCCCAAUAUUUCCUUAGAAGUUGUGACUUUUACUGCAUAUAAAACAUACCUCAAUAAAGCUAAUACAUACAUAUAUAUAUAUGAAUCAUUUCUGGCCAGGUACAGUGGCUCAUGCCUGUAAUCCCAGCACUUUGGGAGGCAGAGGCAGGUGGAUCACCUGAGAUCAGGUGUUCCAGACCAGCCUGGCCAACAUGGGAAACCUGUCUCUACUAAAAAUACAAAAAUUAGCCAGGUGUGGUGGCAUGCCCCUGUAAUCCCAGCUACUUAGGAGGCUGAGACAGAAGAAUCGCUUGAAUCCGGGAGGUGGAGUUUGCAGUGAGCUGAGAUUGCACCACUGCACUCCAGCCUGGGCAACAGACUGAGACUCCAUCUCAAAAAAAAAAAAAAAAAUCCCUUUUUAUCUAAAGGAUCUGUAGUGAAGUCCCCUCUUUCAUUUCUGAUAUUGGUAAUUUGUGGGGUUUUUUUGUUUU